UACGGAGGGUGCAAGCGUUAUCCGGAUUCACUGGGUUUAAAGGGUGCGUAGGCGGGCAGGUAAGUCAGUGGUGAAAUCUCCGAGCUUAACUCGGAAACUGCCUUUGAUACUAUCUGUCUUGAAUAUGGUGGAGGUAAGCGGAAUAUGUCAUGUAGCGGUGAAAUGCUUAGAGAUGACAUAGAACACCUAUUGCGAAGGCAGCUUACUACGCCUAUAUUGACUCUGAGGCACGAAAGCGUGGGGAUCAAACAGG
rnacentral:rRNA from 1 species